UCACGGAGGGAAGGAUAUUCAAUAUGGUUCCUAUCAGGGUCUUGCUGCUGUUCGCAAUACCGCUAAUUGGUAUCUUUCUGCAAAAAUCAUCCAGCAAGAGCGUUGACGAAAGUAAUCACCAUGUGGAAAGUUUCUCAGACCUCGAAGGGGAGAAUGAUCUGAUUAGAAUCAAGCGAGACGUUGACAGUACUAUUGCAGACAUGACAUAGUAUAAACGUGCAGUAGGCGAUUCAGCACUAUCAAAUGAGGAUAAAACACAAUAAAUAGAAAAGCGUUGGGGUCGACGUAGGCGAAGAGGUGGCAGCUCGUUGCGUCGCAGAAGGUCUGGUCGAUGAGGAGGAGGGGAGGGGUAUUGGCACUGCAGUAGAAGCUAUUGGAGAUGGACUUGGCGCGGUGUAAGCUGGUUUAAGCAUAGCCGAUAUGUUGAACAACAAGGGAGAUGAUUAUUAGAAGGAGCAUGCCUAAUAUAUCUGUAAAACAAAUUAUGCAAAAUAAAUCAACGCUUUAUU